rnacentral:rRNA from 1 species
UCUUAGGGGUUAAUCUUAAGUAUGGCGUGCCCAGUGUGAAAAUAAACGGCUGCGGUAUCUUAACCGCACGAAGGUAGCAUAAUUACUUGUCUUUUAAAUAAAGACUUGUUUGAAUGGUUUUAUGAGAAGUUUAAUGUUUUACCGUACAUGUUAGAAUUUGAGGUACAAGGUAAAGAUUCCUGUGUGCGUAAAAAAGACGAGAAGACCCUAAAAUUUUUUCCACGUAUCGUGGUUUCGAUGGGGUAUCGGGCUUUAUUUUAUCUGGUCUUGAGAUCAAUUGAUAUAUUAAUUGAGCAAAAAAAUACUUUAGGGAUAACAGGACAAUCAUAGUUUAGAGUUCUGAUUUAAACUAUUGUUUGUUACCUCGAUGUUGAAUCAUUAGACCUUCCCCUAGCAGCUUAGGGAGGAGGGGGCCUGUUCGGCCUUUUAAGUUUUACG